UCUACGGGGGGCUGCAGUGAGGAAUAUUGCGCAAUGGGGGAAACCCUGACGCAGCGACGCCGCGUGGAUGAUGAAGGCCCUUGGGUCGUAAAAUCCUGUCAGAUGGAAAGAAGUGUUAUGGAGUUAAUCCCUCUGUAGCUUGACGGUACCAUCAAAGGAAGCACCGGCUAACUCCGUGCCAGCAGCCGCGGUAAUACGGAGGGUGCAAGCGUUGUUCGGGAUUACUGGGCGUAAAGGGCGCAUAGGCGGUCUCAACCGUGGAAGUGCAGUUGAAACUGGCAGACGUGAGUAGUGGAGGGGGGGGUGGAAUUCCCGGUGUAGAGGUGAAAUUCGUAGAUAUCGGGAGGAAUACCGGUGGCGAAGGCGACCACCUGGCCAAAUACUGACGCUGAGGUGCGAAAGCGUGGGGAGCAAACAGGAUUAGAUACCCCAGUAGUC
rnacentral:rRNA from 1 species